GACGAACGCUGGCGGCGUGCUUAACACAUGCAAGUCGAACGGAAAGGCCCUGCUUUUGUGGGGUGCUCGAGUGGCGAACGGGUGAGUAACACGUGAGUAACCUGCCCUUGACUUUGGGAUAACUUCAGGAAACUGGGGCUAAUACCGGAUAGGAGCCCCUGCUGCAUGGGGGGGGUUGGUAAGAUUCGGCGGUUGGGGCUGGACUCGCGGCUUAUCAGCUUGUUGGGGGGGUAGGGGCUUACCAAGGCUUUGACGGGUAGCCGGCAUGAGAGGGUGACCGGCCACAUUGGGACUGAGAUACGGACCAGACUCCUACGGGAGGCAGUAGUGGGGAAUAUUGCACAAUGGGCGGAAGCCUGAGGCAGCAACGCCGCGUGCGGGAUGACGGCCUUCGGGUUGUAAACAGCUUUCGACUGUGACGAAGCGUGAGUGACGGUAAUGGGUAAAGAAGCACCGGCUAACUACGUG
rnacentral:rRNA from 1 species